rnacentral:rRNA from 1 species
CCUACGGGAGGCAGCAGUGAGGAAUAUUGGACAAUGGGCGCAAGCCUGAUCCAGCCAUGCCGCGUGCAGGAAGACGCAUCUAUGGUGUGUAAACUGCUUUUGUACGGGAAGAAACACUCCUUCGUGAAGGAGCUUGACGGUACCGUAAGAAUAAGGAUCGGCUAACUCCGUGCCAGCAGCCGCGGUAAUACGGAGGAUCCAAGCGUUAUCCGGAAUCAUUGGGUUUAAAGGGUCCGUAGGCGGUUUAAUAAGUCAGUGGUGAAAUCUGGUCGCUCAACGAUCAAACGGCCAUUGAUACUGUUAGACUUGAAUUACUAGGAAGUAACUAGAAUAUGUAGUGUAGCGGUGAAGUGCUUAGAUAUUACAUGGAAUACCAAUUGCGAAGGCAGGUUACUACUAGUGGAUUGACGCUGAUGGACGAAAGCGUGGGGAGCGAACAGGAUUAGAUACCCUGGUAGUCCACGCCGUAAACGAUGGAUACUAGCUGUUGGGCGCAAAGUUCAGUGGCUAAGCGAAAAGUGAUAAGUAUCCCACCUGGGGAGUACGUUCGCAAGAANAGAAUACAAAGAAAGUUAGAGGCGUGAGAGAGCGAGGACGACACGAGGGAGGAGG